GAUCCCUCCAGAAUUCAUUAACUCUCAGUGAGUACUAUUAUUUUCAUACUUAUUUGCAUAAAUUCAAUAAGAAUUUUCUGUUCUUAUAACAAGGCAUGAUUAGAAACAUUGGCUGUAUAACCAAGGCUUUGACUAGUAUGUCAUAUUUAAGAAUGAUGUGCAUAGAAUCAGAUAUGAUCAGUUUUUUUAAAUUUUAUUUUAGGUUCAGAGGGUACAUGUGCGGAUUUGUUACUUGGAUAAUUUGCACGUCGCUGAGGUUUGGUGUACAAAUGAUCCUAUCACCCCGAGUAGUGAGCAUAGGACACGACAGAUCCUUACCUCACAAGGCCUGACCAGUGUCUUCAAUAAACCCACUUCCUUGUUUGUGAAACAUCUGGGGAAGUAUUAAAUGGGGGAAAGGAAGGAAUUAACAGCCCACCAAAAUGGUGUGAAAAUUACUUUAAACUCAAAACAUCUUCACAAUCAGCAGCCACAGAAAGAAACAUUAUCUAAACUUAGGCAGAGCCUCCUGAAUUACAGCUUCUAUGACCCCCUCUGAGGGAGUUUCCCGAUUGUGAGAAGACUCAUCCUAGGAUCAGCGAGUGAGGAUUUAGCUGUCCCUUAUCAUCACAAGGCCCAAUAGAAACUUCCCUACUUUCCCAUGGAGUCCAAACCCCACUCCCCCUCUCUGUUAAGUUGGUAUAUAAACCUUUAACUCUGCAGCCAUAAAAAAGAAUGAGAUCAUGUCCUUUGCAGGGAAGUGGGUGGAGCCUGUAAACCAUUAUCCUAAGCAAACUAACACAGGAACAAAUACUGCAUGUUCUCACUUAUAAGUGGGAGCUAAAGGAUGGGAACACAUGGACACACAGAGGGGAACAACACACACUGGGCCCUAUUGGAGGGUGGAGGUUGUGAGGAGGGAGAGGAUCAGAAAAAAUAACUAAUAGGUACUGGGCUUAAUGGCUGGGUGAUGAAAUAAUCUGUUCAACAAACCCUCAUGACACACGUUUACCUAUGUAUCAAACCUGCACUUGUACCCCUGAACUUAAAAUAAAAGCAAAAAACAAAAAACCAAAAACCUUUACCUCUGAGUAUUCAGGGAGUUGCCCAUUAUUGAAUAUUUCACAUGUACAUGUAAAUAAACCUUGUCCUUUCUUUUGUUAAUCUGUCCAUUGUUACUUAAUUCUCAGGCCUCUGACCAUUGAACCAAAGUGAGUAGAGAAAAAAAUUUUCCUCUUAGACUGUCUGGGC
rnacentral:lncRNA from 1 species